GACGAACGCUGGCGGCGUGCUUAACACAUGCAAGUCGAACGGUGAAGCCCCAGCUUGCUGGAGUGGAUCAGUGGCGAACGGGUGAGUAACACGUGAGCAACCUGCCCCUGACUCUGGAAUAAGCGCUGGAAACGGCGUCUAAUACUGGAUACGAGAAGGGUCCGCAUGGGCACUUUCUGGAAAGUUUUUCGGUUGGGGAUGGGCUCGCGGCCUAUCAGCUUGUUGGUGAGGUAAUGGCUCACCAAGGCGACGACGGGUAGCCGGCCUGAGAGGGCGACCGGCCACACUGGGACUGAGACACGGCCCAGACUCCUACGGGAGGCAGCAGUGGGGAAUAUUGCACAAUGGGCGAAAGCCUGAUGCAGCGACGCCGCGUGAGGGAUGACGGCCUUCGGGUUGUAAACCUCUUUCAGCAGGGAAGAAGCGAAAGUGACGGUACCUGCAGAAGAAGCACCGGCUAACUACGUG
rnacentral:rRNA from 1 species